GGUAAACUCGGGCCGAGAGCCGGGGUAAUACGUAGGGGGCGAGCGUUAAUCGGAAUUACUGGGCGUAAAGUGUGCGCAGGCGGCAGAGCAAGUCGAGUGGGAAAGCCCCGGGCUUAACUUGGGAAUUGCGCUCGAAACUACUUUGCUGGAGUGUGGCAGAGGAAGGUGGAAUUCCACGUGUAGCGGUGAAAUGCGUAGAGAUGUGGAGGAACACCAAUGGCGAAGGCAGCCUUCUGGGCCAACACUGACGCUCAUGCACGAAAGCGUGGGGAGCAAACAGGAUUAGAUACCCGAGUAGUC
rnacentral:rRNA from 1 species